AUGCGGAAGAGAUAAGUGCUGAAAGCAUCUAAGCACGAAACUUGCCCCGAGAUGAGUUCUCCCUGAGACUAUAAGUCUCCUGAAGGAACGUUGAAGACGACGACGUUGAUAGGCCGGGUGUGUAAGCGCAGCGAUGCGUUGAGCUAACCGGUACUAAUGAACCGUGAGGCUUAACCUUACAACGCCGAAG
rnacentral:rRNA from 2 species